AUUGAAACGCCGAUUUCCGUACGAUCAUCGAAAUUAAGCAACAUCGAUCCUGGUCAGUUCCUAGAUGGGUGAGGGCUUGGGAAUACCAAGUGCUGCAA